GGAGCUGUGCCCGAAUACCCAAGGACCACUUUGAUAGAGUGAAUAAUGGAGGUUAAAAUCCUCCCAGCUCCU
rnacentral:tRNA from 2 species